rnacentral:lncRNA from 1 species
CUGUGGUGCUUGUACUGGAAGCCUGAGGGCCUUCAGGUCUACUUAGGUUUUCAUUUUGCUCCUCAUACUGGAUGGCUUCAGGGUCUUACCUUGAAUUCAUUGAUCCCUUCUUGUGCCUGGUCAGAGAAGGUUUGUUAUGGAGUCCGUGGUUGUGUAGCCCCUCCCCACAAGUGCAUCCGUGGACUAUUUGGAGGUAGGGCCUUUACAGAGAUAGUUCAUGUAAACAAGGACAUACAAGAGGGGCCAGAUCCACUAGGAUUAGCUUCUAAGGAGAGACAGCAGAGAUGGACCCGCACCCACCCUGCAUUCUUUGCCACAUUACAACACAACAGGAAGGCAGCUGACUGUGAGCCAGGAAGAGAGACCCUAUCAGAAACGUCCCCUGCUGAAGCUUGAUCUGGGACUUUUAGC